GAACUCGGAAGUCAAGGUUUGAAGGGUAUAUCAGUGAGCAGAUUAGUCUUCUUUCAAACUUGAUAAGCCUGAACCCGAGUACUAAUUCCUUGGACAACACUCUACUAAUUGGGCUUGGACAAAAAUCCCUUGCACGAUUGGAUUUGUCAAAUAAUCAAUUCUCAGGUUCCAUACAAGGUUC